rnacentral:rRNA from 1 species
UGGCUUCCAUCUGGAAGAAGUCUGGAGACAGGUGCUGCAUGGCUGUCGUCAGCUCGUGUCGUGAGAUGUUGGGUUAAGUCCCGCAACGAGCGCAACCCUUGCCUUUAGUUGCCAGCAGUUCGGCUGGGCACUCUAAAGGGAACUGCCGGUGUUAAACCGGAGGAAGGUGGGGAUGACGUCAAGUCCUCAUGGCCUUUAUGACCAGGGCUACACACGUACUACAAUGGCCGAUACAAAGGGCAGCGACACUGCGAGGUGAAGCCAAUCCCGUAAAAUCGGUCUCAGUCCGGAUUGGAGUCUGCAACUCGACUCCAUGAAGUUGGAAUCGCUAGUAAUCGUGGAUCAGCAUGCCACGGUGAAUACGUUCCCGGGCCUU